rnacentral:rRNA from 1 species
UACGGAGGGUGCAAGCGUUAUCCGGAUUCACUGGGUUUAAAGGGUGCGUAGGUGGGUUGAUAAGUCAGUGGUGAAAUCUCCGAGCUUAACUUGGGAACUGCCAUUGAUACUAUUGAUCUUGAAUACCGUGGAGGUCAGCGGAAUAUGUCAUGUAGCGGUGAAAUGCUUAGAUAUGACAUAGAACACCAAUUGCGAAGGCAGCUGGCUACGCGAAUAUUGACACUGAUGCACGAAAGCGUGGGGAUCAAACAGG